rnacentral:rRNA from 1 species
GACAGAGGGUGCAAACGUUGUUCGGAAUUACUGGGCGUAAAGCGCGUGUAGGCUGCUUCGCAAGUCGGAUGUGAAAGCCCUGGGCUCAACCCAGGAAGUGCAUUCGAAACUGCAGAGCUGGAGUCCUGGAGAGGAAGGCGGAAUUCUCGGUGUAGAGGUGAAAUUCGUAGAUAUCGAGAGGAACACCCGUGGCGAAGGCGGCCUUCUGGACAGUGACUGACGCUGAGACGCGAAAGCGUGGGGAGCAAACAGG